rnacentral:lncRNA from 1 species
GUUGAUCUGAUCUCCAACAUCCUCCACGUCAAUUCCCACUCCACCCACAUCCCUUAUCCUAUACGUAAGCUUUCCAGCCACGGUGCUGGCUUGGGUGGGGGUGCGUGCGGUGCUGACACCAAAAUGGAGGUCCCGUGUUUCUGAGAGUCUCUCUUUCAGAGCAUUGCAAACCUGAAACUACUCCUGCCAAGAAACGAUUGCAGCUCUUCCCGGAAAAAUUAAAGCCUUUGAGAAACAAAGCUGAGGUUGAAAGUAUUAGUCCAUUUUAUAGAUGAAGAAAUGGAGGGGCCCAGAGAGAUCACGUGACUUAGCCAAGUCCACCAACUAAUAUUGGGAAGCUCAGCAGGGCCCUGGGGGCCCACAGGAAUGUGAAUAAACACACUUGGAAAGUCUGCAGAAUUUCCACUCCUAGCCUCCUGCUGGUGUGAACCUGGGCUCCUGUGCCUGGGACCCUGGGAGGGCCUAGGGGAUGCCAAAUUCCAGGGUCCAGAAAGAGCUUGGGAUAAAAUGAACAUCCAAGGGGAGGGCUUUGACCUGGACUGAGUCUGCCUGUGCCAUCCAAAUGGUGUCUCAAGUCCUGAGACAGGGUGUCCAGAUGCCCCAAUGCAGGGCCCUCCUGAUCGACACCUGCUCCCCUGUACUCAUUAGCAACCUCACCCACCCUGCUCUCAAAGCACACUUGGCUCUCAUAUCUGUGGAGGGAGCUCUGCGGAUUCAGCCAACAGCAGAUGGAAAAUGUUCAGAAAAUAAAUUGGACGGUUAUGUUUCUAUUGAA